GAUGAACGCUAGCGGGAGGCCUAAUACAUGCAAGUCGAGCGGUAUAGAGACUUCGGUUUCUAGAGAGCGGCGCACGGGUGAGUAACGCGUACAUGACCUACCUUCAAGCCUGGGAUAGCCCUGGGAAACUGGGAUUAAUACCGGAUGUGAUAAUAAGUUUGGAUAUUUAUUAUUAAAGUUACGGCGCUUGGAGAUGGGUGUGCGUCUGAUUAGCUAGUUGGCGAGGUAACGGCUCACCAAGGCGACGAUCAGUAGGGGGCGUGAGAGCGUGACCCCCCCGACACGGGUACUGAGACACGGACCCGACUCCUACGGGAGGCAGCAGUAAGGAAUAUUGGUCAAGUGGGCGAAAGCCUGAACCGAGCCAUCCCGCGUGCAGGAUGAAGGUCCUAUGGAUUGUAAACUGCUUUUAUCAGGGAAGAAACGCCUUCAUUCAUGAGGGUCUGACGGUACCUGAGGAAUAAGCACCGGCUAACUCCGUG
rnacentral:rRNA from 1 species